UAUCAUGAUAUCUGAUAUAGAUAUCUUAGGUGGCUAUUAAAUUUAAAGUCUCUUGAUAUAUUAACUAUUCAAAAUUUUUACAAAUGUCAAACUAAAAUUACCAGAACCCUGUCUUUAUAAAUAUGAAGUAUAUGGAUUUGAAAAAGAAUUAAUGUGGCCGUUAAUAGCAGCGUAGCAACGGAAAGCAAUACUAA